UACGUAGGUGGCAAGCGUUGUCCGGAUUUAUUGGGUUUAAAGGGUGCGUAGGCGGUUUUUUAAGUCAGUGGUGAAAUACAACAGCUUAACUGUUGAGGUGCCAUUGAUACUGUAAGACUUGAGUACAGAAGAGGUAGGCGGAAUUGCCGGUGUAGCGGUGAAAUGCUUAGAUAUCGGCAAGAACACCGAUAGCGAAGGCAGCUUACUAGACUGUAACUGACGCUGAGGCACGAAAGUGUGGGGAUCAAACAGG
rnacentral:rRNA from 1 species